rnacentral:lncRNA from 1 species
ACUUCAUGUGAGCUUGAAAUCUUUUGAAACACAAGGUUUUAUGUCCACAUGAAUAGUGCAUGAAAAAUGAGUUUCGGGUUCUCGAGAUUUCGAAUGAAUCCUUACCUGAAAUGGGUACCAACCAACUCGAAAUGGCAUAAGGAAUGCAAUGGUGCCUUUAGAAUCUUCGAUCUGCGACUGGAAUGCUCGCUUCGAGCUUGGUCUGUACAAGGAAGAAGAGAGAGAUAGUGAGGAAGAGAAAGAUGAGGGCACGGGAAAGAAGAGAGAGGGAAUGAGGGUGGUGUGUGUGUGGUCCAUGUGGUCAUAAAUCUCAAAACCACACAAUAACUCUAAAUCUCAAUAUGUCACACAUACACACAACAAUUCCCGUCCAAUGAUAAAAUUGUCGCUUGACCUCACUGAUAAAUGAAUUUUGGGACGGGCUAUGACAAUCUCCCCACCUUAUAAAAUUUCAUCCUCGAAAUUAUACAUAACAAAUACCUCCACUAAUAAUCAUAAAACAAGCGUGGAUACAUCUCUCUCAUCUGAUCCUCUGUCUCCCAAGUAGCUUCUUCCACCGAAUGAUUUCUCCAUAACAGUUUUACCAAACGAACUGUCUUAUUCCUCAGUUCUUUAUCCUUCCAAUCCAACAGAGUCACUGGUUCCUCAUCAUAAGUCAAGUCUGAAUUGAUUUCCAAAGGUUGAGGAGGAAUCACAUGUGAAGGAUCUGAAACAUAAUGUUGAAGCAUCGAAACAUGAAAUACAUCGUGCACCUUGGACAACUCUGGAGGCAAUUCAAGCCUGUAAGCAACCUCACCGACUCGCUCGGUGAUCAUAUAUGGUCAAAUGUACCUAGGACUCAACUUUCUUUUCUUUCCAAAUCGUACAACACCUUUCCAAGGUGAUAGCUUCAGAAAUACCCAAUCACCUACAUCAUACUUCCGAUCAAUGGCAUGCUUGUCUGCUAAGCUCUUUUGUCGAUCUUAGGCCGCUUUCAGGUUAGACUUAAUUACCUAAACAUUUUGAGUAGUCACAUCCACAAUCUCAGGGCCUACUAAAACUCUUUCGCCAACCUCUGACCAACAUAGAGGCGUAUGACAAGAUUUCCCAUAAAGUGCCUCAAAUGGUGCCCUACCAAUGCUCGAAUGAUAACUGUUGUUGUAGGCGAACUCCAUCAAAUCCAAACAAUCAUGCCAACUAUCUCCAAACUGCAGCACUGAAGAUCUCAACAUAUCUUCUAAUGUUUGAAUGGUCCUUUUAGAUUGUCCAUCUGUCUAAGGAUGAUAUGUCGUACUAUAGAGUAAUCUCGUACCAAGAGCUUUUUGGAAUGCUAUCCAGAACUUGGAAGUAAAUCUGGGAUCCCGAUCCGAGAUGAUAUUAACUGGCACACCAUGAUACUUCACAAUCUGCGAUAUGAAUAACUUAGCUAAUUGACUUAACGAAUACUUCUCCCUCACCGAAAUAAAAUGUGUUGACUUCAUAAGCCGAUCAACUACUACUCAAUUGUUGUCAUAACCAUUUUGUGUGCGAGGAAGCUUGUACACAAAAUCCAUAGUAAUAUUUUCCCAUUUCCACUGUGGAACGGGAAGUGGCUGCAUCAAUCCAAACGACUUCUUUCUUUCAGCUUUAACUUGUUGGUAGAUGGCACACCUACUCACAUAUUCGACAAUUUCUCUUUUCAUACCUGACCAAUAAUAAAAUGGUCUAAUGGUAUGAUACAUAUUAGUACCUCCUGGAUGCAUCGCAUAUGCCGAAAUAUGUGCUUCAUCCAAAAUUUCUUUCUUUAACUCUGCAUUAUUCGGCACAUAGAUUAUGCUUUCCUGCAUAAGCAUGCCAUCAGUUUCUCGAAUCUCGAAAUCUUUCUUUUUGCCUUGGUUUCUUGCUUGAAUUAUUUCCUGAGUCUCUUCAUCAUUCAUCUGAGUUUCAAGCACACAAUCAAUUAAAACUGGUCUAACCUGGAAAUUAGCAAGCAAGGCUUCUUCUCGAUCUUCCACUUUUAACUCCACUCUAAGGGACCUCAAAUCUGCCAGAAGUGGAACAUGACAAUCAUAGAUGGCAUUAAAUCUGGAUGGAGUCUUUCUACUAAAUGCAUCCGCCACUGCAUUUGCACGACCAGGAUGAUCACUAAGUAAUUCAAUCCACCUCUGCUGACGAAGAUUAAGAUCUCUCUGAGUAAACAAAUAUUGAAGACUCUUAUGAUCUGUAAAGAUUUUACAUUUCUCACCAUAAAGAUAAUGUCUCCAAAUCUUCAAGGCAAAGAUGAUAGCAACUAACUCCAAAUCAUGUGUAGGGUAAUUCUUCUCAUGAGGUUUCAAUUGUCUCGAGGCAUAAGUAAUCACCCUACCAUGUUGCAUUAAUACAUAACCCAAACAACUCAGAGAAGCAUCACUAUAAACCUCAUAAUUACCGCCAUCAUCUGGAAAUGCUAGAACAGAAGCAUGAGUGAGGUAAUACUUCAGCUGUUGGAAACUUUGCUCACAUUUAUUAUCCCACUCAAACUUAACAUCCUUUCGAAUCAACCUUGUCAAUGGCAGAGCAAUCACUGAAAAAUCCUUAACGAACCAUCUAUAAUAGCCUGCUAGGCCAAGAAAACUCCUUACCUCGGUGAUGAUUCGAGGUUGCUCCCAAUUCUCCACAGCUACCACUUUUUGAGAAUCCACUUGAAUGCCUUGAGAAGAAACGACAUGUCCCAAAAAUGCCACUUGAUUCAACCAAAAUUCACAUUUGCUAAACUUAGCAUAUAGUUGGUGUUCCCUCAAACUGCUCAACACCAACUUCAAAUGUCUAGCAUGCUCAGCUUUAGACUUAGAGUAUACCAGGAUAUCGUCAAUGAAGACAAUAACGAACCUGUCCAAAUAUGGCUGGAAUACUCAAUUCAUCAAAUCCAUAAAAGCUGCUGGUGCAUUAGUUAACCCGAAUGACAUCACAAGGAACUCAUAAUGACCAUAUCGAGUCCUGAAUGCAGUUUUAUGGACAUCUUCAUUUUAAUCUUUAACUAAUAAUAUCCCGAGCUCAAGUCAAUCUUAGAAAAUACGCAGGCACCUCUGAGCUGAUCAAAUAAAUCAUCUAUACGAGGCAAUGGAUAACGGUUCUUAAUGGUUACCCAAUUUAAUUGCCUGUAAUCAAUGCACAGCCUCAAAGUUCUGUCUUUCUUCCUCACAAAUAAAACUGGAGCUCCCUAAGGUGAAGUACUUGGCUGAAUAAAACCUUUAUCCACUAACUCUUGUAACUGUACUUUCAAUUCCCUUAAUUCAGCAGGAGCCAUUCUAUAAGGAGUUAAGGAUAUGAGAUUUGUACCUGGAAGCAAAUCAAUAACAAACUCCACCUCUCUAUCUGGCGGCAAUCCAGGCAAAUCCUCAUGGAAUACAUCCGGAAAAUAUCUUACCACCCGAACAUCCUCUACACUACUAGGAGCAUCAUCAUUCAACACCACAUGAGCUAAAUAUCCCUGACAACCUUUCGACAACAAUCUCUUUGCUUUUAUGGCUGAAAUAAUACCAUGCCUCACCCUACUAGGCUCUCCUAAAAUUUAACUUCAGGUAAUCCAGGACAAUGAAUUGUGACUGUCUUCCCAUAACAAUCUAUCUUAGCACGAUUAUAGUGCAACCAAUCAGUGCCCAAAAUCACAUCAAAAUCCAUAAUAUCCAAUGACAUAAGAUUAGCCGGCAUAAUAAUAUCCUUUAUUAUCACUGGACAUCCUGGAUAUACCCGAUCCACAAAACAGUUAUCCCCUCUAGGCAUAGAAAAUUCUAAAUUAUAUCCUAAAGGUGUAGGAUGAGAUUGUGUCACUUACGCAAAUGUAUGAAAAAUAACAGAAUGUGUAGGACCACAAUCAAUCAAAACUCUGGCAAAAUGAUCGAGAAUAUUUAACGUACCCAUGAUUAAAUCUGGAUUAUUCUGGGCAUCUUGCAGUGACAUGUUGUGGAUACGUGCCUGGUUCUGCUGUCGUCCACCGCGACCUCUGUUGGCGUGAACACCACAUCCCUAUCUCUGCUGACCUGACUGCCUCGAAGAUUUUGCACUACUAGUAGCAAUCUCUCCCUGCUGGGGUUGUCCCCCUUAGUACCACUGAGAUCCUCCAGCUAAAUGCGGCUGAUAAGACAUAGAUCCUCCCUAAUACUGAGGAUACUUACUCUGAUAUUAAGGAUCCUGAGAGCACUGCUGUUGUCUUGAGGUGUAGGGAGUGGCGUUGCCCUGAUAGUGGUAGGCACCUCCUCGUCCAGUCUGAGUAUAACCACCAGAUCUUGAAGCGUGCUGGGUAGGUGCAGGUGGUGGGAAUGAAGGUUGCUGGGGUCUCUGCUGACUCUGAGGGCAUUGAGCAGCCCUAUGACCCACCUGUCCACAAGUAAAACAUCCAUUCCUGCCUCUCCUACACUCCCCAAAAUACUGAUUAUUACACUUGCGUCAUAAGGGAGCACCAGAUCCACCUGGACCACCAAAAUCUCCCUAUCUCUGGAACCUCGGAUCUCUAGUGAAUCUACCACCUCUCCUCUGCAUAUUACUACUAAAUCCUCCGCUAGAAGAGCUGGAAUUGCCACCACUCUUCUUAAAGUUAUGGGUCUUGCGAGGUCCCUGAAAUGCUUGCCUUUUUCCCUUGUCAUCUCGUCUUUAGCCCCUAUUCUUUCCUUCCUCAUCUUCACUUUCACUAGGCAUGUUCUCUGAGGCCUUAAUCCUCAGUAGAAUCUCAUAGAACUCCUGGUAAGAGGCACAAUGAGUCGAUGUUGCUAUAGAACGCCAUUUAUUUUUAGUACCCAAUCUGAAACAGCGAAGCAUCUCUACUGGAUUAGCAGCAACCUCUGGGUCAUAUCUCGACAUAUCAGUAAACAUCCUGUCAUACUCAUUAGCGGACAUCUUUCCUUGCCUCAGAUGAGUAAACUCCUGUUUCUUAAGAUCGAUAUAUGCAGGAAGAAUAAACCUUUUCCGAAACCGUUCCUUAAACACUUCCCAGUCUACAAUCUCUUCUGGGGUCAUCUGGUAAGACUCCUGUCUCCACCAAGAUGGAGGCAGUUCUCCCAAAAACCAGGAAGUCGUCUUGACCCACCUAUCAGGAGGAAGAUUCCCCUGACUCUGCAUCACUUGAUAGGUCUUCUCCACACAUGAUUCAGCCAUUUUUCUGCCCCCUCAUGACCUUCAUUACCCAUGAAGUGAGUCAACUUCAGAUUAUGAAUUGUCUCAAGAGGUGUCCUCUGGAAGUACGGAAUGCUGUCUGAAUGGCAGAAACUAUAGCUUCCCCUAAUUGAGCAAUAUCAGGGAAACUAGAUUUAGCUGGUUGACGGGGCUCUCUACGAGGUGGCAUAGUUAUGACAUAAGACAUCAUAAGGAUUAGAACAUUCAAGAAUUAUACAGGACGGUUAAACCUAGGCCUUGAUACCAAACUGACACACCCUGAUCGAGAUCAAGGCAUGCUGGCCGUCACGUGAGAUUAACGUAGCCAUGUGCACAGUGCGGAAGCAAUAAAGAUAAGAAAUAUACAAAUAAUUAAAAACCAAAUUACUAGAGUGCACUACUAAACAGAAAGUGAUAGGAGUUAGUUACAACAGUGAACACUCCUAAUCAGAGCAUAAAGUCUAGGUGCAGUCCAGUAGGACAAGUACUAGUUAUAUAGUACCAGAAUUGUCCUACUAUUAUUUAGAUAAGUCAAAACUGCCGACGUCCUUAAGCCAUGAACAACAAGCUUACCUAAAACCUGAAGGGGCGCAAAAUAGAAAACGUGAGUGGGCAAAAACAAAUGUUUUACAAAAUCAUUUUCUUUAUCAACAUAUCUAACCCCUCGCUCUAAAACAUGUAUAAUUUUUCCUAGAAUUAGAAUAUAAUCAUAUGCAUAAUAUAUAUAUAUAUAUAUAUAUAUAUAUAUAUAUAUACACACACACAUAUAUAUGAAUUCAUAUCAAUUCAAUUCAUGCUUCGCAGAAUCAUAUUCAAACAUAUAUGCCAUGCCAAUAUAUAACAAAGUAAGCAAUUCAGGUAAAAAUAAAUUCAUAGAAAUAUGAUAUGUUAGCCGGAACCCCUGUGGUAGUCUAUAUGGCCGGAUUCAUAGCUCAAAAUUAAUCUAGCCAGAGUCACUACAAUGACCUAUACGGCAAUAUACUGCAUAUAAGUUGGAACCCCUACAAAGGUCUGUACGACAAGAUUGGGUGUAAUAUAAUUAUACUCAAUUUUACUCUCUCAUAAUAACUGGGCGAUAAAUCGCUAGUCAUCUACGAGUCGGAACUAUAAAUAAGGUCUGUACGACAAAACUGUGCACUUAAGUUGGAUCCAAUAUGAGCAUAUAGUACGGGAGGUGACGUAAAUAAACAAGCUUAUACUUCAUAUCUCUGACUAAAUCACAAACACCCUAGGUGCAGUUUUAUGAGCUCAACAUCAUUCAAUCACAUAUCACAUCAUCGAUGAUUCACAUAACCAAACAUAACUUACCUAAACUUACCUGUGCCUCCACAGCACCACAUUUUAUAUAUAUAUAUAUGCAACCAUGACAUGCAUAUUCAAAAUAUAAAAGCAAGCAUACUUUCCUUAAAAAUGCAUUUCUGGGAAAUAUAUCAAGUAUAUAAGUAUAUACUGAAAAAAAGCCUACUCACUCAUAUGUCGACGAGUCGUAACCCUCGAGUCACCCCUGGAUAUGCUUGUCCUCGGGAUAAGCCUCACCUAUAUGCGAAUUAACUAUAAAAAAGUUAUUUUAAAUCACAUAGGCAAAACUAGCUAAUAACUUCUCAUACAUUGCUCAAAUUGGAUAUAUGAAUAUACCAUAGUGAUCUACACAACCUCACGAACAUCGUGAUAUUUUUAGAAAUUUUUUUUAAGCUCCCACGCGCCAUCACGCGCGGCCAAACCUGAUGGAUUUGCUAACCACCGUUAGGGAAUAUUCCAUUAAACCUAACAGAUUCUGCUAAAAUUGACUGACGGCGUCAGCAUAUUCCUUCAAAAUUGACGGAAUAUGCCGUCAUCUUCUCCGGCGAGUCACCGGUCGCCGGGAAACAGGGUAAAACUUCAAACCCACUAUUCUCACUCGUUUCUCAACCAUUUUGCAUGAAAUUUGAACCAUUGGAAAGCUAACAACAUUUGGAAUCACGUUAUACCAUUUUAAAACCUUGAAAUCUACUAGAUUUUACCUGAGGAAGCUCGAUAAUCCGAUCAACUUUGAAAACCUUCGAUCUCGGCCCUCCGACGUCCAAACUCUUCCAAUGAACUAACCCGAGCUUCCUUAGGACCUCCUAAAACUCCCUGUGAGCUUGAAAUGUUCUGAAACACAAGGUUUUACGUCCACAUGAAUAGUGCAUUAAAAUUGAGUUCGGGUUUUCGAGAUUUCGAAUGAAUCCUUACCUGAAAUGGGUACCAACCAACUCGAAAUGGCACGAGGAAUGCAAUGGUGCCUUUAGAAUCUUCGAUCUGCGACUAGAAAGCUCACUUCAAGCUUGGUCCAUAUGAGGAAGAGAAAGAGAGUGAGUCCGAGAGAGAUGAGGGCACGAGAAGGAAGAGAGAGGGAGUAAGGGUGGUGUUUGUGUGGUCCACAUGCUCACAAAUCUCAAAACCACACAAUAACUCUAAAUCUCAAUAUGUCACACAUACACACCAUAAUUUCCUGCCCAAGGAUAAAACUGUCACUUGACCUCACUGAUAAAUGAAUUUCGGGACGGGCUGUGACACAAAAAUGUUAGGGUUUUUUAAUUACUUAAUCUUAUAAUUUAACUAGAUAGUGUCUCUAGCAAUUUCUUAAUAUAUUAAGGGAGCUUUUUGCUCAACUAUGGUGUAUGUUCACUUUACACAUAAUCAUCUAUCAUGUGUCAUUUCAUUUAACUCUAGUUAACUUUCAUAUUAAAUAUUACUUUUUGGAUUUUGAAAAAAAAAAAAAAAAAACUAUCGUUAAGUGAGAGGACAUGUGUUAACUAGAGUUAGGUGAAAGGACAUAUUAACUCUAAUUAACUUUCACAUUAAUUGUUACAUUUUGAAUUUAAAAAAAAAAAACUAAGGUUACGUAAAAGAACAUGUGGUAAGUGAUUAAAUGUACAGUGAAUAUACACUAUAGUUUAUAGUAUUGAUGCAAAAUGCUCACAUAUAUUAAUGAACAAAAACACUUUCGUUAAACAUUUACUUUUGUAUUUCACAUUUAUAUUUAUUUAAUUGUUUUGAUUAAUUGGGCUAUAUUAGAUGAAUAAUUGUUUGGUUUUUAAAUAUUUUUCUUUAAACCAAGACCAACUAAUAUCAAUUAAACCGAAUGGAACAAAUAUCUAGGAGUUCGUGCAAACGAACUAACACCCUCUUUUCUCCCCUGAUAACCCCUACUCUAAUGCUAUAUAUCACACCAACACCAGCACUUCCACUUAGACCUGAUAUUCGUGUCGUGUUUUUCGUUUUCAGGUUAUUUUCAUAUCAUACUCGAUACUUUAACGGGUCAUGUCGUAUAACACCCGUUAAAAUGAACAGCCAAUAUGACUCACUCCGUUAAUAUUAACAGGUAUUAUGACCUGACUCGGUACCUGUUAAAAAAUCUAUUUUAAUCAAUAAAUAAACAAAUGAAAAACACAAUACUGAAUUAGUAUAGACAUACCACAUUCUCACAUAAAUAUUACUUCAAAACAUAAAAAAAAUUAUCCUUCAAGUAUAUACUCUAAAAUAAGAGCUUAUGAAAAACAUUAGCAUUCGCACUUCUAAAUUAAUAAUUAUAAUAUUUUUAAUGUGUUUUGUAUUUUCAUAUUACUUUGAUAUUUUUAUUUUAUAAUGUUUUAAUUUCACUUUUAAGAGAAUAAAGCAUAUAUGAGUAUGACUGUAUGAGAAAGAGUAAAAACUUUGUUAGGUCGUUGACUCUAAAAUUGAAAGUCUGUCUUUUUGCCUAUAGUUAUACUAUACUAGUUGAUUUGAAUUUGGGACAACAGGCAGUGGCGGAACCAAAAAACCAUAUUAGGAGGGGUCUAUAAGCCAUAUAAAAAAAAUAAUAGCCCUUGAAAUAUAUAAUUAAUGGGAGAAAAAUUAAACGUUUUGGUUUUUGUAUUGACAAGGAAAAUUUUAAUCAAACAAGCAUGGUCGAGCUUUAAAUUUUGUAUGAAAGGCCUAGUAUUGAAAUGAUUAUAUCAUAAGAACAAAACUUGUUAAGUGUUUUGAUGAAAAGAAAAUUAACACAUUGGAUUCGAACAAAAAUUUAACAUCAUGACUUAAAUUUAAUCUCACUCUAGAUUGUAUAGGCCUUUGUUUUAUAUCAACUGGCCAAAAAAGAGGGCUUAGUUUUAAUAUGGUAAGAAAUAAGGCAAAUUAUAAGGAUUUGUUUUUCUCUUAGUUAAAAUAAAAUAAAAAAAUCUAAGACUAGGAUAGGCGGUAUUAUGAUACUUGAUGUAUCAAACCAUAUACCUGGCACACUGAGAAAUUGCUCCUACCACCAUAAUGACUAAGUAACCAUGGAGAAUGUUACUUAGUACUAUGGUCUAGAGGUAUUCCUGACUUGUAAGUAAAAGGUCUUAGGUUCAAUUCUAGCCAAAGGCGAAUUUGAACCACAUUAUUGAUAAUCCAUUAUGAGGCUUAGCCCCCAAUUCCCCACCCCUUAGAGUAGAUAAUAUCGUUUUAGGGAGAAGAGUCUUGAUUAAUUAACUAAUAUAACACUAAUGAUUAUUUAUUUUUGUUUAUUUUCUUCAGUUACUACUAAAGUUUAUCUUUUUUUCUUUUAUUUCAUUCUUACUCUUUACAAACAAUUGAUAUAAGCAAAUUGUGGAUGCAAAUUUCUUCCUCCCUAAUCUUGGACAAAAUUGCACCUACAAAACAAAUAACACCUUUGGUCAAAGCCACGAGCUUCAUGCGCGCACGAUGAAUAUGGGGCUUUGGUUGAAGAACCUUCAAUGCCAAAGUUAGAAUUUUGAGGGAAAAGUGUUUGGAGAAUUUAGAGAAUUUAGCAAGAGAAUUGGAAGUGGGUUUUGGAGAGAAUGAGAGGGCUUUUAUAGGGGUGUGGCCGGCCUUCUUGGGUGAGAGAAGACUGGCCACUUGGCUCUCUUUGUGGGCUAGGUUCUUAAUUUGUGUUUAAUUGGGCAUAAUUGAAUAAUUAACUAAUUAAUUAGCCAAUUAAUAGAAUAAUCGCCUAAUUUAUUAGCUAAUUAGUAUAAUAAAAAGGGAAAGAUUUGGGAGUUACCUUGUGGAAAGGAUUUGAUGAGGAUUGAUGAAUUAGGUUUUGAAUUGUUACCUAUUUUGGGCACUUUUGACUUGGUUGAAGGAUGAUCGUCUGCUGCUCGCGCGUAGGAAUCCCGAUGUGCCUCAAGGAUAUUCUUGUCAUUUUCAUCCAAAGAUCCAUGUGUCACAUUGUGAUUAUUUUUGGCUCCACAAAUGCCCCCACACCUGUUAGGCUGCUCGUAGAAAAGGGCAACAGGUGUAGAGAUUUUCUUGCUUUAGGAAAUUAGGAUUGCUUCCUAUUUUGAUGUAGAUUUCCUCUUUAAUAAGAAAUUAGAUCCUUCUAGGAAAGGGAAAUAAAUUUCUCUUAAAGCUUAUUUAAGUCCACCUUAAGUGGAUUAUUAAAUCAA